rnacentral:tRNA from 1 species
GAGGGUACAGCUCAGUGGUAGAGCACCUGCUUGAUGUGCACGAGGUCCUGGGUUCAGUCCCUGGUACCUCUA